AUGGCGCGGCAGCGGGGGCGCGUGGUGCUGCGGCGGAUCGAGGAUCGGAGGCGGCGGGGGAUCUGCUUUAGGAAGCGGCGGGCGGGGCUGGUUAAGAAGGCGGAGGAGCUCGCCAUGCUCUGCGACGCCGACGUCGGCCUCCUCGUCAUCAGCCCCUUCGACGGCACCUUCCAACGCUUCGCCGCGCCCGCGACUCGAUUACAAUCCAAUUAG
rnacentral:rRNA from 1 species